rnacentral:rRNA from 1 species
GACGAACGCUGGCGGCGUGCUUAACACAUGCAAGUCGAGCGAGGAACUUCGGUUCCUAGCGGCGGACGGGUGAGUAACACGUGGGCAACCUGCCUCACAAUGGGGGAUAGCCUUCCGAAAGGAAGAUUAAUACCCCAUAAUACAAAGGAAACGCAUGUUUCUUUUGCCAAAGAAUUUCGUUGUGAGAUGGGCCCGCGGCGCAUUAGCUUGUUGGUGAGGUAACGGCUCACAAAGGCUUCGAUGCGUAGCCGACCUGAGAGGGUGAUCGGCCACAUUGGAACUGAGACACGGUCCAGACUCCUACGGGAGGCAGCAGUGGGGAAUAUUGCACAAUGGAGGAAACUCUGAUGCAGCAACGCCGCGUGAGUGAUGAAGGUCUUCGGAUUGUAAAGCUCUGUCUUCUGGGACGAUAAUGACGGUACCAGAGGAGGAAGCCACGGCUAACUACGUGCCAGCCGCCGCGGUAA